rnacentral:misc_RNA from 1 species
UUUCCGUAGGUGAACCUGCGGAAGGAUCAUUAUUGAAUGAACUUGGUGUGGUUGUUGCUGGCCCUUUCGGGGGCAUGUGCACACCCAUCAUCCUCAUCUCUCCACCUGUGCACCUCUCGUAGACCUGGAUUGACUUUCCGAGGCAACUCGGUCGGGAAGAUUGCUAUGCUCUGUGAGCCAGCUUUCUUUGCAUGUCCAGGACUAUGUUUUUCAUAUACCCCUAUAGAAUGUAACAGAAUGUAUCAUUGGGCCUUGUGCCUAUAAACCUUAUACAACUUUCAGCAACGGAUCUCUUGGCUCUC